CGCAAAUCCUCUCUUUCUCUUUCUCUCAUUUCCCGUCAUAGGUUCUAUGCAGGCAGAUGAGUGUCACAGCUGUAACUGAGGCACAGAGCAGUACACACAGUGGAGCCGAUUUCCGCGAUGGCGAGAGGGGGCACCGGAGGUGACAACAAUAACAAGACUGUCCUUCGGACAAGUUUUAGAUUCUCAGGAUGAUGGAGUGAGUGAUGGAAUAGGUUGCCAACUGUAGUUACUCCACUCAGCACAGAAUGGCUGCGGGGAAAUAUAAUCAGACAUGCCCAAAGAAGUCUGCUUAGGGUGAAACAAAUACCUUUGAGGUUUAAAUCAGAAAGGAAGGAGAGACUGUUUCUACAGGUGUCAUACAAAAAUCAAUACUGAGCCAAGGAUUAUUGGAUCCCAUAGAACCACGGAGACUUGGUAGUGAAAUUCUUCCAAAGAUGGUGUUCCUAGGUUUGGAAAUAUAAAUCCCAUGGGAAGUCAGCUGAAGACCAUUUUAUGCAUCACUCAUCCUGUUAGAGCCCUGUGCUGUUCUGUCUCUCUAUAAGACUGGCUGAAACCACCACGGUUGUUUACAAUUUAUGCUCUAACUUUGGAUCACCUAGUUAAUACUCUAACUCCGAUUAUUACCAAAGACAAUGUUCUAUAAAAGAUAUUGUCUAUUAGAAGGAUGCUUCUGCAUUAUUAAUAAAAUCACAGGGAAAAUGCAACAUUUUGGAUGUCACAUCUGAUAAGUUGGCAGUUAAAGAACAGAAACAGCAAUAAGACUGCGUGGCUACAUUUUCCCAGUGCCACCAACUGGGAUUUAAGCUGACUAACAUUUUGAAAGCCCAGCCCAUUUCAUUCACAGCAGGAUGGCAGAACAAGAAAUUGAGAAUGGGUUUCACAGUGUUCUGUUAAUUUGAUUACUGUGUCCUAAGUGGUAAGUAUAAACCUCCUUAUGUAUUUUGUGAAGCUCACUUAAUCAAGCAAAUAUUAUAAAACACACUAUCAUAUCACUAUGCUGAUCCUUGACCUUUUGGCUUGUCACUCUCUUGUGUUGGAUGUCUUUUUCUCAUGUGCAUGCACAUGAAGCUUGGGGACAGAAAGAGUGAGGAAAAACAUUAGCCCUGCUCCCUGAAUAGUAAUGGGCUGUGGAAUUGUCUUUUUGGAGGGGACUUCCCCUGGGAACAAUGAAAUUGGGAUGAAUAUUAUCAGUUUGCAUUGACAUUGAAUGCAUUUUUAAGGGAGCUUAGAUCACUCUGUAAGAGUCAUCUUGGAUAGGUGAAUGGAAUACACAGUUGCAGUAGGAAGACUAAAGUUCUGAGAUGUGUCAGAUGACAGUGAUAAUAUCAUAACUCAUUUUAUGAAUGAAUCAAAAAGUUCCUCAGCUAGUGCCCACAUACUCAUAUAUUGAAAUAAAUUUUACAAAGCCUCUUCUUUCCCUGGAGUCUGCACAUAUCCCAUCUUACCAUGGAAUAUAAACCUGCUUUGCUUGGUUUUGUAUUCUAUGACCAUCCUCUAGAUAUUUCUUACCAGAUUAGGUCAACAGUUAACAGAGAAUACAGUGGAAAAGUAAAAUAACAUUUUCAAAGUUU
rnacentral:lncRNA from 10 species